rnacentral:tRNA from 1 species
AAAGGGAGACCUAAUUCCGGUAGGAGACGAAAAAAAGUAGUCCCUACCAAGAAUCAAUCCCAAAAGGUCGGAACGAGGUAUGAGGCUUUCAAACUAGGUUCUGGGUUCAAACAGGACCUGAAUCAGGAACAAGGGCUAUUAGCUCAGGUGGUUAGAGCGCACCCCUGAUAAGGGUGAGGUCCCUGGUUCGAGUCCAGGAUGGCCCACCUGCACAGGUGGCAAAAACAAGAGAAGCGAGGAAUCAGCACCUUAUCUUACUUAUAUAGUAAGAGAGAAUGCUGGCUCUGAGUAAAGAGUCCAGAGGAACCUUGAAAACUGCAUAGAGCUAGGUGAAAAAGCCAAAAAAGAAGACCGCAAG